CCCUUAGAGUUUGAUCCUGGCUCAGGAUGAACGCUGGCGGCGUGCCUAAUACAUGCAAGUAGAACGCUGAAGCUUGGUGCUUGCACCGAGCGGGUGAGUUGCGAACGGGUGAGUAACGCGUAGGUAACCUGCCUCUUAGCGGGGGGUAACUAUUGGAAACGAUAGCUAAUACCGCAUAAAAGUCGAUAUCGCAUGAUAUUGAUUUGAAAGGUGCAAUUGCAUCACUAAGAGAUGGACCUGCGUUGUAUUAGCUAGUUGGUGAGGUAACGGCUCACCAAGGCGACGAUACAUAGCCGACCUGAGAGGGUGAUCGGCCACACUGGGACUGAGACACGGCCCAGACUCCUACGGGAGGCAGCAGUAGGGAAUCUUCGGCAAUGGGGGCAACCCUGACCGAGCAACGCCGCGUGAGUGAAGAAGGUUUUCGGAUCGUAAAGCUCUGUGUAAGAGAAGAACGAGUGUGAG
rnacentral:rRNA from 1 species